CCUACGGGGGGCAGCAGUGGGGAAUAUUGGGCAAUGGAGGAAACUCUGACCCAGCAACGCCGCGUGAAUGAUGAAGGUCUUCGGAUUGUAAAGUUCUUUUCUAAGGGAAGAAGAAAGUGACGGUACCUUAGGAAUAAGCUUCGGCUAACUACGUUCCAGCAGCCGCGGGAAUACGUAGGAGGCAAGCGUUAUCCGGAAUGACUGGGAGUAAAGGGUGCGUAGGUGGUUUGACAAGUUGGUAGCGUAACUCCGGGGCUCAAACUCCGCACUACUACCAAGACUGGCGAACUUGAGUGCAGGAGGGGCAAGUGGAAUUCCUAGUGUAGCGGUGGAAUGCGUAGAUAUUAGGAGGAACACCAGUGGCGAAGGCGAUUUGCUGGACUUGAACUGACACUGAGGCACGAAAGCGUGGGGAGCAAACAGGAUUAGAUACCCCGGUAGUC
rnacentral:rRNA from 1 species